AUAUUUAUUUUGAAGGAAUAAAUUGUACUCCACUCAGCUUGAGUAUCUACUCGCUUAGGUGGAACUCCUAUUGUGGAACCGAGGAUUGAAUUAACUCUAGCAUAUUUCUUGAAGUGCUACAGCUGUAGGCAGCUCCGCUUGUACAUCAAUUGAAGUGGCAUCUUCCCCAUCCCAAGACGAUGAUGAUGAUGAUACUCCCGUGACAGGAUCAUUCCAUGCAUGCUGGGAGUGCGUACUCAUACUCCCUGAUCAAAAACAACAUGGUGCUACUACUCAACAUCAUACUACUAAUGAUGAAGAUGGCGCAGCAUGAUUACUAAGUAUACAUGACGUAGCUUGUUGUAGUUAGCUGUUGUUUUGUGAAGCUGAUUGCUAUCAUGAAAUAGUGUGAUCCUGUGCACACUACACUACUGAUUCUGAACUUGUCUUUUGGGAACAAGAGCUACUAUGUGUCCGACUAUAUAUAUUAUGUAUAUGAGCUCGAGACUCAUGUACAAUGCCAUAUGAACAGAACAUUUAGUUAUGUUCAACAAAAGUUUUGAAGGGAACACACACAUAUUUUUUUCUCA